GACGAACGCUGGCGGCGUGCCUAAUACAUGCAAGUCGAACGCUUCUUUCCUCCCGAGUGCUUGCACUCCAUUGGAAAGAGGAGUGGCGGACGGGUGAGUAACACGUGGGUAACCUACCCAUCAGAGGGGGAUAACACUUGGAAACAGGUGCUAAUACCGCAUAACAGUUUAUGCCGCAUGGCAUAAGAGUGAAGGGCGCUUUCGGGUGUCGCUGAUGGAUGGACCCGCGGUGCAUUAGCUAGUUGGUGAGGUAACGGCUCACCAAGGCCACGAUGCAUAGCCGACCUGAGAGGGUGAUCGGCCACACUGGGACUGAGACACGGCCCAGACUCCUACGGGAGGCAGCAGUAGGGAAUCUUCGGCAAUGGACGAAAGUCUGACCGAGCAACGCCGCGUGAGUGAAGAAGGUUUUCGGAUCGUAAAACUCUGUUGUUAGAGAAGAACAAGGACGUUAGUAACUGAACGUCCCCUGACGGUAUCUAACCAGAAAGCCACGGCUAACUACGUG
rnacentral:rRNA from 1 species